rnacentral:rRNA from 1 species
UACGUAGGGUGCAAGCGUUGUCCGGAAUUAUUGGGCGUAAAGAGCUCGUAGGCGGUCUGUCGCGUCGGCUGUGAAAUCCCGGAGCUCAACUCCGGGUCUGCAGUCGAUACGGGCAAACUGGAGUACUGCAGGGGAGACUGGAAUUCCUGGUGUAGCGGUGAAAUGCGCAGAUAUCAGGAGGAACACCGGUGGCGAAGGCGGGGUCUCUGGGCAGUAACUGACGCUGAGGAGCGAAAGCGUGGGGAGCGAACAGG